rnacentral:rRNA from 1 species
GGAGGAAAAGAAACCAACAGGGAUUGCCUCAGUAGCGGCGAGUGAAGCGGCAAAAGCUCAAAUUUGAAAUCUGGCGUCUUUGGCGUCCGAGUUGUAAUUUGAAGAAGGUAUCUUUGGGCCCGGCUCUUGUCUAUGUUCCUUGGAACAGGACGUCACAGAGGGUGAGAAUCCCGUGCGAUGAGAUGACCCGGGUCUGUGUAAAGUUCCUUCGACGAGUCGAGUUGUUUGGGAAUGCAGCUCUAAGUGGGUGGUAAAUUCCAUCUAAAGCUAAAUAUUGGCGAGAGACCGAUAGCGAACAAGUACAGUGAUGGAAAGAUGAAAAGAACUUUGAAAAGAGAGUGAAAAAGUACGUGAAAUUGUUGAAAGGGAAGGGCUUGAGAUCAGACUUGGUAUUUUGCAUGCUGCUCUCUCGGGGGCGGCCGCUGCGGUUUACCGGGCCAGCAUCGGUUUGGAGCGGCAGGAUAAUGGCGGAGGAAUGUGGCACGGCUUCUGCUGUGUGUUAUAGCCUCUGACGAUGCUGCCAGCCUAGACCGAGGACUGCGGUUUUUAACCUAGGAUGUGG